UGAAUGCUUCAGUGACACAUCUUUGGAUCACCCACCUUCCCACUUCGGCAGCCUCCCCUUCCCAGUGCCAAACAAUGCCUUCCAUCUCCAAUCCCGCCUUUGGGAUUUGGAGAGCUGGGGGUCGCCACCCAAACUGUCCUCCCUCCCCCCUCCUCCCUUCCAUCAGGAAGGCAAAAUCAUCCCAAGUUUCCCAAGGACACCCAAGUGGGUGGCCAGCAAAGCGGUGACUGGAAGGAGGAAGGAAAGAAAAGUGGCUGUAGGUCCAGCGCAGAGGCAAGAGAGGAGCAAGGAAGGCCAUCCCAAGGUCUUCAACUGAACCUCACAAAUGAAGGCAAAUAUAAAUGUCCCAGGAUAACGUUGCAGGAUCCAAUCUGGCUCCGUCACCCAGAUCAGAGAUUCUACUCUUCCAGAGCUUCACACAUUCACACAUUCUGGCCAGAGAGAACUUUCUUGAGGAGUAGACUCUGGCAUGAGUCCAAAACCUCAGAAGACUCAACCUCUGAUCCUACUGAUGGAUCCAGACGGGAUUCCUGAAUCAUCUGAAUCUGUUCCGAUCUGCAAAGCUAUUUCUUUCCGGCUCCUGGAUUGGGGAGAAUAAAGUCACCUCGCUGUUCCUGAGCAUAUUCUGAUGAGUCUCUCAUCAGAGAAUAAACAAAGGCGACCUGCUUGCAGGCACCCAGGUUUCCAGGUCAGAAGCCAUGCGGGAAAAUAUCACAAUUAAUGUGUGUGUGUGUGUGUGUGUGUAUUCUAUUUGCCUAGAAGGAGGCCUCGGACUCUGGUCACCCACUCUGUACUCCCACCAUAUCAUAGAGUUUCUGGGAAGCCUGAAAACUGAGUGGGAGAGAGAGAGAGAGAGAGAAAGCUGGGAUAGGAGAGCGUGGAUCAGUUUUUCCUGCAGGAGGCUGGGGGGGGGGGGAGAGAAACAAGGGUGAAUGGAAGAGGUGCUGACAAUGCAACAAAGGAAAAGGGGGACAGGGUGGGCGCCAGACACGGGAUUAAGUCAGAUCCUGCAGACGUGGGCAAAAAUCAAUGGGAGGUGGAAAGGCUGCCCCCCCCUCUCCAAAGGGAGGGUACUUCGGUUUCUUUUGGGCAGAAAAAGUGGCUGGAUAAAAAAAAAAUGAAUGGGAUUCCCUCAAAAGGAGACACAGAUUCUCCCCAGCAGACAUCACAUCCUGGGGUAAUACAUGUGUGUUUUCCUAUCUGUGUUAUCUUGCCUUUCUCUCUAGGAAAUGAAAAGGAAAAAAAAACAUAGGACAUUUUUUUCUUGCUUCUCUGGACUGUCUAAAUGUCCUGACUUCCAGCUUCCCCCAAAAUUAGGACCGGGGAGUUUUGUAAAAAGUAUCUAGUUCUUAUGAUAUUCAGAAAUGGAUUGGUAAGGGUAGGAAAAGUUAAGGCACCAUCCAAGCCAUAAGCCAAGAGACUCUUGGUUCUUAAGAGAAGGCUAAAAAUCUGUGGAGAUUCUCAGUCAUCCAGAUCAUGGUUGUCCCAAGGGUGUUUUUUCCCCCCCAAAAGGCAACUAACUGGACUUUCUUGGUUUUUUUCCCCCCUUGAAAAUGUUUCACUUCUCAUCCAAGAAGCUUCUUCAGUUCUAACUAGAGCAGGGCUUUUCUAGUUUUUUCUUCCCUCCCACAGCAAACGGAUUAUUCCGGAAGGCUUCUUAACCCCUUAUAGAUGUUCAUAGGCAAACACAGAGAGAAUCCAGGCACUAAGAAAGAAAUCAAGCCAGAUGGGCUUAAAUGCCAAACUCUCCUCUCCCAGAGUGGCUGAUUCUUUUAAAUAAAAUGAUUUCUUCCUUGUCAACUAAAACCAUAAAGUUUGGUUCAGAGAGAGCAUCUGGCUGGUUGAGAAAAAUGCCUUUUCCCAUAAAGGCUUGAGAGAACACAUAAAGCUUUUGUUCACUGUCAUACUCGCCCAUCCUAUCGCCCUCCGAAAUCCCACAUCUGUUUAAUGUCCGCAGGGAUUCCAGGCCAUUAUACUGAUUUUUUUUUUUUUGUUCCCUGGGAAAGGAGGAGGGGGAUCUUUCUUGGAUUUAAAAAAAAAAAAGAGUGAAAAA